UACAGAGGUCUCGAGCGUUGUUCGGAUUCAUUGGGCGUAAAGGGUGCGUAGGUGGUCUGGUAAGUCGGAUGUGAAAUCCCGGAGCUUAACUUCGGAACUGCAUUCGAUACUGCCGGACUGGAGUACUGGAGAGGAGAUCGGAAUUUACGGUGUAGCAGUGAAAUGCGUAGAUAUCGUAAGGAAGACCAGUGGCGAAGGCGGAUUUCUGGACAGUUACUGACACUGAGGCACGAAGGCCAGGGGAGCAAACGGG
rnacentral:rRNA from 1 species